GAUGAACGCUGGCGGCGUGCUUAAUACAUGCAAGUCGAACGAAGAGCCUUUGUAGCAAUACAGGGGUUUCUUAGUGGCGAACGGGUGCGUAACGCGUUGGUGACCUACCCCAAAGUGUGGGAUAACAGUUCGAAAGGAUUGCUAAUACCGCAUGUGGUCAUCGGGUUUAGAAGCCGAUUACUAAAGAAGUAAUGCGGUUGGGGAGGGACCUGCGUCCCAUCAGCUAGUUGGUGAGGUAAUGGCCAACCAAGGCUUCGACGGGUAGGGGACCUGAGAGGGUGGUCCCCCACACUGGCACUGAAACACGGGCCAGACACCUACGGGUGGCAGCAGUAGGGAAUAUUGGGCAAUGGGCGAAAGCCUGACCCAGCAACGCCGCGUGCACGAUGAAGGUCUUCGGAUCGUAAAGUGCUUUUCUGAGAGAUGAGAAAGGACAGUAUCUCAGGAAUAAGUCUCGGCUAACUACGUGCCAGCCGCCGCAGUAAGAC
rnacentral:rRNA from 1 species